rnacentral:rRNA from 1 species
AGCAUUAUACCGCGAAACUGCGAAUGGCUCAUUAUAUAAGUUAUCGUUUAUUUGAUAAUACUUUACUACUUGGAUAACCGUGGUAAUUCUAGAGCUAAUACAUGCUGAAAAUCCCGACUUCGGAAGGGAUGUAUUUAUUAGAUUAAAAACCAAUGCCCCUCGGGGCUCUCUGGUGAAUCAUGAUAACUAGUCGAAUCGACAGGCCUUGUGCCGGCGAUGGCUCAUUCAAAUUUCUUCCCUAUCAACUUUCGAUGUUUGGGUAUUGGCCAAACAUGGUGGCAACGGGUAACGGAGGGUUAGGGCUCGACCCCGGAGAAGGAGCCUGAGAAACGGCUACUACAUCCAAGGAAGGCAGCAGGCGCGCAAAUUACCCAAUCCCGACACGGGGAGGUAGUGACAAUAAAUACUGAUACAGGGCUCUUUUGGGUCUUGUAAUCGGAAUGAGUACAAUUUAAAUCCCUUAACGAGGAACAAUUGGAGGGCAAGUCUGGUGCCAGCAGCCGCGGUAAUUCCAGCUCCAAUAGCGUAUAUUAAAGUUGUUGUGGUUAAAAAGCUCGUAGUUGAACCUUGGGCCUGGCUGGCCGGUCCGCCUCACCGCGUGCACUGGUCCGGCCGGGCCUUUCCCUCUGCGGAACCCCAUGCCCUUCACUGGGUGUGGCGGGGAAACAGGACUUUUACUUUGAAAAAAUUAGAGUGCUCAAGGCAGGCCUAUGCUCGAAUACAUUAGCAUGGAAUAAUAGAAUAGGACGUGUGGUUCUAUUUUGUUGGUUUCUAGGACCGCCGUAAUGAUUAAUAGGGACAGUCGGGGGCAUCAGUAUUCAAUUGUCAGAGGUGAAAUUCUUGGAUUUAUUGAAGACUAACUACUGCGAAAGCAUUUGCCAAGGAUGUUUUCAUUAAUCAGGAACGAAAGUUAGGGGAUCGAAGACGAUCAGAUACCGUCGUAGUCUUAACCAUAAACUAUGCCGACUAGGGAUCGGACGAUGUUACAUUUUUGACGCGUUCGGCACCUUACGAGAAAUCAAAGUGCUUGGGCUC